CAGACAUUUUACUUCGCUCGAUUAGCACAGUAAGCUUAGAGAGCGUCAAUUAAACAUGUCCUGGAAACACCCUUAAACUGUACGUAAUGUAACAGCUGAGGGUUGCUGACAAGUGUAAAGGAUUAUAAGACGAAACACCAAUGCCUAGGAGUUUUUUUUUUUCUGACUUCAGCAGCUGCUGGAGAUUUGUAAACAUCUGGAAAUGAUCUACCAGGUUGUGGUCAGUAGAAUAGAUGGAGAGAAAACCACGAUUGACCUCUGCAACACCGAGCAGGAGAUGAAGAAAAUAACUGUGAAUCAGCUGAAAGAAAAGAUAUUUGACAAGUUUUCUUGGUACUCAGAACGUGCAAAAAAGGACCUAAAAUUGAUCUUUGCAAACAAGAGACUGAAUGACGACACGAAGAGGCUGUUUGACUAUGGAAUCACACACAAGUCCUACAUACAGAUGGUUAUAAGUUUAGAUGGUGGAGGAGAACCUGAACCGGGUUUUACUGACGAUGGUCUGGGUGAUAAGGAGGGUGAAACUCGGAGAAGUAAAGAAUGUCUUAUGCCUGAUGUCUAAAAUGCUUCGUUUCACACAUUAAAUGGAAUCACAUCGCUCCUCAUUCUCAAUUAAAUGUUUUUAAAUAAGUUUAAAUAAAUAAAUAAAAUGUUCUGCCAGAUUCUGAAUGUAUUGAACAUUAUCACAUCUCUCUGUAUGAUCAGCAGAGAUAUUUGCCUGUUUCUUGGUAUUUUCAGUGAGUCAAACAGAGAGAACAAAUGUCGAGCAGCUUCAACAAACUUGUGUUUUGAAUUAAUAAAUAAAAUGUUGGAUUUAAAAAGGGCUCUUUUUCCCUUCCAUGCAAUUUAAACAAUGAAAUACAGCAGAUAAUGUAAGAUAAUUUGCUGCAAACCUGAAGAGGAACAUUGUGAAAACCACAGAUGAGUCAAAUUCAGACCAAAUUCUAGAUUAAGAAUCAAAGUGUUGGGAUUAAAGUGAUCUACAGGAUAUUCUCUCAGCUCCAGUUCUUGUGUUGGAAUGGGUCUGAUUAUUAAAGCGCUUUAUCCAGGCAGGUUUUGAGUCUCCUCCU